GCCAGACUCCUACGGGAGGCAGCAGUGGGGGAUAUUGCACAAUGGGGGAAACCCUGAUGCAGCGACGCCGCGUGUGGGAAGACGGUCUUCUGGAUUGUAAACCACUGUCCCCAGGGACGAAAAUGACGGUACCUGGGGAGGAAGCUCCGGCUAACUACGUGCCAGCAGCCGCGAUAAUACGUAGGGAGCAAGCGUUGUCCGGAAUUACUGGGUGUAAAGGGAGCGUAGGCGGGCGAGAAAGUUGAAUGUUAAAUCUACCGGCUUAACUGGUAGCUGCGUUCAAAACUUCUUGUCUUGAGUGAAGUAGAGGCAGGCGGAAUUCCUAGUGUAGCGGUGAAAUGCGUAGAUAUUCGGAGGAACACCGGUGGCGAAGGCGGCCAACUGGGCUUUAACUGACGCUGAGGCUCGAAAGUGUGGGGAGCAAACAGGAUUAGAUACCCGUGUA
rnacentral:rRNA from 1 species